CCUAAACCUCCAAAUCAAAAUCAAAACUCUCGGCCGCCACUCUUCCUCUCCAUUUUAUUAUUCCUUUCUUCCAUAGUAGUGGCGUUAAUUAGAAGCUGUAAGAACAAAGAAGAGAAAGAGGGUAUCGAUCUACACUGCUUCUCAUUCGUAGACAAAAAAUUUAACUGGUUUGUUUGUCACUUCUAUAUGGGUGCUCAAGAGAAAAGUGCCUUUGAGAAAUUUCAAUUUCUUCUAAUAUCAAACUUAUAGUGAUUACGGAGAGUGCUUCAUUAUUCUUGGAUGCAUGAAGAUCAAGCAUGAUGAGGGUGGCAACAUGAAUCAUCAAGCAAUACUUAUGUUCAUUUAAUGUGAAAUUCUGUACAUUAUUUUUUUAUCUUUGUUACA